rnacentral:tRNA from 1 species
AAAUUUGAACCUAAUGAUUAGGAUUCUAACUGAUAAUUAGACAUUUUGAGGUUUAAAUCCUCUCAAAUUUU